CUCCCCAACACACACUGUCUGUGUCUGUUCUGUGAGAUUCUCUGUUCAUCAUUAUACUCAAAGCAGCAAGUUUCCGGAUUCUUCAUGUCAUUCAAGCUGCUGAGCUAUUAUACACACAGGGCUUGAGGUCUCCGCGAAUUCUCAAUAACUCUUCAGGACAUGGGGGAGGUAGAUUGUGAAAUGCCAGCAGGCUUUUAGAAAGGAAAUGCAUAGUUUGUCUGGUUGGAGCUUGCUUAGAUUUGCCUCUAAGCCUCAGGAUAGGCAUUUUGAAUCAUGUAAUUAAGCACUAUAAACUCUAAAUUGGAGAAUGGGACUACUGGCUAGUAAAGUUUUCACAUCAAAAGAUAAUUUUCAGCAUUUCUAACACAGUAAUAACAUAGGUAGGCCAAACAAAUUUAUUCUCGAUUCAGAAGUUAUUGGUGGAGAAUCCAAAUACUGUUCUGUACAAUUCAGAAGUAGCGUGCCAUGUGUUAUGAGUGGCAAGAAUGCCACGAGACAGAUGUUUCCAAUAGAUGAGGGCCCGAUAACCAGCCUUCCUCUGUUUUGACAAACCGGUUUUCACUGUGAUCACUCUUGGAACUCCAUCAUGAAGGACAUUUGCUGAGACUUUGAGAAGUCACCUUGAUUAGACUAUCAUUCAGAGAAGUUAGUAUUCAGCAGCUGGAAGGACCCAUGAGGUACUCAUCUUACCGUUCUUUAGGGCAUAUGUUUGGACACCACCAUAUUUCAGAUCUGCGCAGAGGGUACACGCGAUUCCACAUUAUGUACAUACACUGUUGUCGUGCUAAGAAGGAAGGGAGUGGGAGGAGCUACUCGGAUUUCCCUGUGGUGACUGGAAGCUGUGCCCUGGUUAGUGUGUGUGCUGUGAACAGGCUGGCUGAGCUCUCUCUGCAUGCUCAGAGCCCUGUCCCCUGGGUAGACCCCACACUUUCCUUUCUUUGCAAUCUUAAUUCUGUAGUGACUAUCAGUGGAGAAACUCCAGUGUUGUGCUCGCUUGGCAAAAAUAAGUUUGAACAUUUCAUGGUGGUUGAUAGAACUUUGUCCUUAAACCAUAUGAUUCAGAUUCUUUAAAACUUGUUUAAUGUUUAUACCAAAGGUCACGCUCUGCAGGUGUAUGUGUGAUGGGUGCACAGAGGAGCGGGUCUGGAGGGCCUACCCCUGGGUGCGUUGCUAAGGGGACACAGUGAGGCAGUGUGGGAUUUCACUGAAAACACAUCAAUCAUGGGUCACACUACCAGUGUUGUCAGGUAUUUGUUCUUAAUUGUUAUUGUAAUAUAUUUUCAGGUGUUGCGUUUUUCUAAUUUAAUACUUUCACCCUGUUGUCUGACUGUGAACUGCUAACAGUGUUAAACUUGAUGUAAAUAAUGAGACCCUUGAAAGGGGAAUGCUGUCUGCCUGUUGUCUCACAAGGCUUGCCAACUUGUGUUUUAUUUUAAAUAAAGGU
ensembl:lncRNA